CCUUUCUCUCCAAUAAUAAUCUCUUCCUCUCAAAAAAAUUCUUUCCCUUAAAAAUUGAUUCAAUCAUUACAAGUACAUGUAACUUUGUUUAUCUUCUAGAUAUAAGUUCAAGCAAAAGCUGAGUUUUAGUUACAAGUACAAAAAUGCAUAUACAGGCUCAUUACUUCAAAUUAAUACAUUUUAAUGUCUAGUUGCUACAAUACCUCCUCUCUCUUCUUUCCCUCAAAAAAUGUAGAUGAUGUUCAUUUUCAAGCACACUCCUCCAUAGAAAAAUCUGUAGUAUCAAGCACGCUCCUUCAAACAGGAAAUCAGGAACAAUCUUUUACAUAGUGACAAGUGCAUACUAGCAAAUACAGCUAACACUGGCAACACAUAGCAAACACCAAUAACACAAGAAACUGAUGAGCACUUGUAGAUUAACACAGGGAAAAGCUUGGAGAUCAAACCUUAUGAACGUCAUGCAAUCAUAUGCAAUUUGUUCAGUUGUGAUAUACCGUGGCUUAAAUCCCAGGUAGACACUACAGGACUCACCAGCCCUCAUGCCACCAGUGCCCACCAGUCCACCAGUAUCAACCAUACCCACUAGCAUUAACUCAUCACUAGGUAAACAAGGCACACACUAGCCACAGAAACAAGUGAACCAGCAAUCACAUGUGUAAGGAAACUGUAUAGGUAAACCGCCCUGCCACCACCUCUCCCUGCGGGGAUUAUGUUUGACCGAUCAAGUAGCCUCACAGCUUACAGCUCUCACUAGCCCACUUGACCCAUAUCCAGUGUGCACCAUGCUACCUUCCUAACACAUGUAUCUUAAAGGCUCAUGUCUCGAAUUGAAAUUAAAUGGGGGGAUUCUCAUUUUAUGCUCGAAAAUAAGUUUUAUAGUUGUAUAUUUGAUAAACAUUUUAA